rnacentral:rRNA from 1 species
CAGCCGCCACGGUAAUACGUAGGUGGCAAGCGUUGUCCGGAAUUAUUGGGCGUAAAGGGCUCGCAGGCGGUUUCUUAAGUCUGAUGUGAAAGCCCCCGGCUCAACCGGGGAGGGUCAUUGGAAACUGGGAAACUUGAGUGCAGAAGAGGAGAGUGGAAUUCCUCGUGUAGCGGUGAAAUGCGUAGAGAUGUGGAGGAACACCAGUGGCGAAGGCGACUCUCUGGUCUGUAACUGACGCUGAGGAGCGAAAGCGUGGGGAGCGAACAGGAUUAGAUACCCCCGUAGUCCCUGUCUCUUAUAC